rnacentral:rRNA from 1 species
AGAAAGUAAGCAAGGGCAGACGGUGGAUGCCUUGGCUCUCGGAGGCGAUGAAGGACGUGAUAAGCUGCGAAAAGCUCGGGGGAGGCGCAAAUAGCCCUUGAUCCCGGGAUAUCCGAAUGGGGCAACCCGGCAGGCUGAAGGCCUGCCAUCCCGUAAGGGAGGCGAACGUGGGGAACUGAAACAUCUAAGUACCCAUAGGAGGAGAAAAUAAACAAUGAUUCCGUAAGUAGUGGCGAGCGAACACGGAAGAGCCCAAACCCAUGUCGUCUAGGCGACACGGGGGUUGUAGGACCACGACGUGGCAAGAUAGAGUCAAGUGGAACGCCUUGGAAAAGGCGGUCAUAGAGGGUGAAAACCCCGUACACGACUGACGAUUGAAGCCUAGUGGUAUCCUGAGUAGCGCGGGGCACGAGAAAUCUUGCGUGAAACUGCGGGGCCCAUCCCGUAAGGCUAAAUACUCCCGAGAGACCGAUAGCGAACCAGUACCGUGAGGGAAAGGUGAAAAGAACCCCGAGCAGGGGAGUGAAAUAGACCCUGAACCCGUCUGCCUACAAGCGGUCGGAGCGUCGUAAUGACGUGACGGCGUGCCUUUUGCAUAAUGAACCUACGAGUUACCUUCCCCGGCAAGGUUAAGUACCUAAGGUACGGAGCCGAAGCGAAAGCGAGUCUGAAGAGGGCGGCCAGUCGGGGGGGGUAGACGCGAAACCGAGUGAUCUACCCUUGGCCAGGUUGAAGGUUGGGUAACACCAACUGGAGGACCGGAUGGGUAAGCGUUGAAAAGCUUUCCAAUGAGCUGAGGGUAGGGGUGAAAGGCUAAUCAAACUCGGAGAUAGCUCGUACUCCCCGAAAUGCAUUUAGGUGCAGCCUCUUUAUAGUAUAUCGUGAGGUAGAGCGACUGAUUGGAUGCGAGGGCUUCACCGCCUAUCAAGUCCAGAUAAACUCCGAAUGCGCGAUAUAUAUUUAAAGGGAGUGAGGGCGCGGGUGCUAAGGUCCGUGUCCGAGAGGAGAAGAAUCCAGACCACCGGCUAAGGCCCCCAAAUGAUCGUUGAGUUGAACUAACGAGGUCGGAUCGCAGAGACAGCUAGGAUGUUGGCUUGGAAGCAGCCAUUCAUUUAAAGAGUGCGUAACAGCUCACUAGUCGAGCGAUCUGGCGUGGAUAAUAAUCGGGCAUAAACGAUCUGCCGAAGCCGUGGAUGUCGUAAGACAUGGUAGGGGAGCAUUCCAUGCGGCGUCGAAGAUGAGGGAUGACCCUUGUUGGAGCGCAUGGAAAAGCAAAUGUAGGUAUGAGUAACGAUAAGGGGGGCGAGAAACCCCCCCGCCGAAAGACCAAGGUUUCCUGAUCAACGCUAAUCGGAUCAGGGUGAGUCGGGACCUAAGGCAAAGCCGAACGGCGACGCCGAUGGAAGAAUGGGUUAAUAUUCCCAUACUGCCUCAUGGAGUGACGUGGAGACGGAGAAGUGACAGUCCUGCCGGCUGACGGAAUAGCCGGUUGAAGGGUGUAGAUAUUGAUUCCCGUAGGCAAAUCCGCGGGGAGAGUCGAACCUGAGAGUAUACGGAGCGCUUGCGCAACGUAAUAUGGACGUAACCAUGCUCCCGAGAAAAUCCGCUAAACUUAUCCAUGCGGCACCCGUACCGUAAACGGACACACGUGGUCGGGUUGAGAAUACUGAGGCGCUCGAGUGACUCACGGUUAAGGAACUAGGCAAAUUGACCCUGUAACUUCGGGAUAAAGGGUCCUCGUCGUAAGGCGAGGCGCAGAGAAUAGGUCCAGGCAACUGUUUAACAAAAACACAUGGCUGUGCUAAAUGGAAACAUGACGUAUACAGCCUGACACCUGCCCGGUGCUGGAAGGUUAAGAGGAGAUGUCAUCGCAAGAGAAGCGUUGAAUUGAAGCCCCAGUAAACGGCGGCCGUAACUAUAACGGUCCUAAGGUAGCGAAAUUCCUUGUCGGGUAAGUUCCGACCUGCACGAAUGGUGUAAUGAUCUGGACACUGUCUCAACCGUGAGCUCGGUGAAAUUGUAGUAUCGGUGAAGAUGCCGAUUACCCGCGAUGGGACGAAAAGACCCCGUGAACCUUUACUAUAGCUUUACAUUGAAUUUGGGCAGACGAUGUGUAGGAUAGGCCGGAGGCUUUGAAGGGGGUACGCCAGUAUCCUUGGAGCCGCCGUUGAAAUACGGCCCUUCGGUUGUUUGAGUUCUAACUCCCGGAUGGGAGGACACUGUAUGGUGGGUAGUUUGACUGGGGUGGUCGCCUCCAAAAGCGUAACGGAGGCUUCUAAAGGUGCCCUCAGACCGAUUGGUAACCGGUCGCAGAGUGUAAUGGCAUAAGGGCGCUUGACUGGGAGAGAUACNGUAUAGCCUGACACCUGCCCGGUGCUGGAAGGUUAAGAGGAGAUGUCAUCGCAAGAGAAGCGUUGAAUUGAAGCCCCAGUAAACGGCGGCCGUAACUAUAACGGUCCUAAGGUAGCGAAAUUCCUUGUCGGGUAAGUUCCGACCUGCACGAAUGGUGUAAUGAUCUGGACACUGUCUCAACCGUGAGCUCGGUGAAAUUGUAGUAUCGGUGAAGAUGCCGAUUACCCGCGAUGGGACGAAAAGACCCCGUGAACCUUUACUAUAGCUUUACAUUGAAUUUGGGCAGACGAUGUGUAGGAUAGGCCGGAGGCUUUGAAGGGGGUACGCCAGUAUCCUUGGAGCCGCCGUUGAAAUACGGCCCUUCGGUUGUUUGAGUUCUAACUCCUAGGCAGGAGGACACUGUAUGGUGGGUAGUUUGACUGGGGUGGUCGCCUCCAAAAGCGUAACGGAGGCUUCUAAAGGUGCCCUCAGACCGAUUGGUAACCGGUCGCAGAGUGUAAUGGCAUAAGGGCGCUUGACUGGGAGAGAUACAACUCGAUCAGGUAGGAAACUAGAGCAUAGUGAUCCGGUGGUUCCGCAUGGAAGGGCCAUCGCUCAAAGGAUAAAAGGUACUCCGGGGAUAACAGGCUGAUCAUUCCCAAGAGCUCAUAUCGACGGAAUGGUUUGGCACCUCGAUGUCGGCUCGUCACAUCCUGGGGCUGGAGAAGGUCCCAAGGGUUGGGCUGUUCGCCCAUUAAAGUGGCACGCGAGCUGGGUUCAGAACGUCGUGAGACAGUUCGGUCUCUAUCUAUCGUGGGCGCAGGAGAUUUGAGGGGCUCUGACACUAGUACGAGAGGACCGUGUUGGACGUACCACUGGUUUACCGGUUGUCCCGCCAGGGGCACCGCCGGGUAUCUAAGUACGGAUCGGAUAAGUGCUGAAAGCAUCUAAGUACGAAGCCGGCCUCAAGAUUAGAUCUCCCUCAAGGGUGGUUAUAGACGAUGACCUUGAUAGGCCACAGGUGUAAGGGCGGCGACGUCCGAGCCGAGUGGUACUAAUAGCCCGGGACUUUCCUCA